UUAAACGAUACUGAAUGUUGUUUAAUUAAUAAUAGUAACUUUAUCAGUUAAGUAUUGUCUUCCACAGUGCAUUGUUUUUGUGAUACUUUCUUCCUCACUGUCCUUAACUUUUGUUCACAGGAAAGGAACGGAUGAAUCAGAUUUAGUACCUGCAAAAGAAGCUAACAUUAUGUGUCCACAAAUUGUUAUUCAAUUUUAUCAA
rnacentral:lncRNA from 1 species